rnacentral:lncRNA from 1 species
GUUCAUGUUUUUAGAAAUAUAAUGUGGUACUUCAAUAUCAAUUUUAUCUAAAGACAAAACGACACACAAAUGAUCGUGAGGAGCAAUUGAUGUUUUAUUCGCUCUGCAGCGUUUGAAUUGAUCUCCGGAUAUCUAGAUCAAGUUCAUUUCCCCAUUAAAAUUCACAAUGGUUAUAAGUGAACCUUUUCCUUCCGAACAACUUACAUUCAAUAUAAUAUCCGUUCAUGUUUUCAGAAAUAUAUUCUGGUGCCUCAAUAUCAAUUUUAUCUAAAGACAAAACAAGACCAAUCAUAAACUAGAUGUUGGGGAGAG